rnacentral:rRNA from 1 species
UACGUAGGGUGCGAGCGUUAAUCGGAAUUACUGGGCGUAAAGUGUGCGCAGGCGGCGUUGCAAGUCGAGUGUGAAAUCCCUGGGCUUAACUUGGGAACUGCGCUCGAAACUACGAUGCUGGAGUGUGGCAGAGGAAGGUGGAAUUCCACGUGUAGCGGUGAAAUGCGUAGAGAUGUGGAGGAACACCGAUGGCGAAGGCAGCCUUCUGGGCCAACACUGACGCUCAUGCACGAAAGCGUGGGGAGCAAACAGG